ensembl:snRNA U6 U6 spliceosomal RNA
GUCAUCCUCCCUUUGGCAACACAUACACUAAAAUUGGAACAAUACAGAGAAGAUUAACAUGGCCCCUGUGCAAGGAUGACAUGCAAAUUUGUGAAGCAUUCCAUAUUUUU